rnacentral:piRNA from 1 species
GGUGGGAUCCUUCGGAAGGACCAACA